GACGAACGCUGGCGGCGUGCUUAACACAUGCAAGUCGAACGGAAAGGCCCUGCUUUUGUGGGGUGCUCGAGUGGCGAACGGGUGAGUAACACGUGAGUAACCUGCCCUUGACUUUGGGAUAACUUCAGGAAACUGGGGCUAAUACCGGAUAGGAGCUCCUGCUGCAUGGUGGGGGUUGGAAAGUUUCGGCGGUUGGGGAUGGACUCGCGGCUUAUCAGCUUGUUGGUGGGGUAGUGGCUUACCAAGGCUUUGACGGGUAGCCGGCCUGAGAGGGUGACCGGCCACAAUAGGACUGAGAUACGGCCCAGACUCCUACGGGAGGCAGCAGUGGGGAAUAUUGCACAGUGGGCGGAAGCCUGAUGCAGCAACGCCGCGUGCGGGAUGACGGCCUUCGGGUUGUAAACCGCUUUCGCCUGUGACGAAGCGUGAGUGACGGUAAUGGGUAAAGAAGCACCGGCUAACUACGUG
rnacentral:rRNA from 1 species